UGAAACAAUGAUUGUGUGUGUGUGUGUGUGUGUGUGUGUGUGUGUGUGUGUGUGUGUGUGUGUGUGUGUGUGUGUGUGUGUGUGUGCAUGCAUGCAUGUUUGUGUUUACAAAUGUUUUAAUGAAGGUUGAGGUUGGUUAAUAAAACCACAGUGCACAGAAUGUUCACUUAUAGAAAUAAAAACACAUGUCAGUGGGCAGUUUUUUUAAGACUCUAAUUAGUAAGAAAAAACUUAACAUAACAUAACAUCUCCUGCCGUUUAGGAGACCAAAGCAUGGUUGUUAUAUAUUCUGUAAAGCUAAUUACACCUCAUUGCUGCUGAAUUCUCUGGAUUGUUUUGCAGACAUUUCACAACAUUCAAUGUACCUGUAAAUGGAUAAAAAGUGGCAUAACAGGAAUAAAACACUUGGGCACAUGCUAUUGGAAUAUAUUCAGUUCCACAGUAGAUAAAGUAGAACCGGCAGAGUACAGGUGAUCAGAUUAGGGUGAACAACAAGGCUGCUGGAUUGUGUUGUUCUAGGAGACAUGACAGUUUUGUUAGGACCUGCUGUAGUGUUGUAGUAUUGUGAUAUUGUAGCAGAUGUAGCUGACUCAGUCACCAUGGUAACGUAUGUUCCCAUUGUAGUCGUGUUGUCCGUGGAAGUCACAGACGUUGGCCUCCAUGGAUUCACAGUGGUGCCAUUUGGUGUCAUCAUUGUGAUGGGGUCAUUUGCAGGUAUUGUGAUGGUUGAUAGCAUCACAUGAGUGGCAUUUACUGGCAGUGAGGUGGUAGAUGCUCUACGUGAAGUCAUCACUGUGGUGGUAGCGUUUAAAGGUACUGUAGAUGUUCUACGUGAAGUCAUCACUAAGGUGGUAGCAUUUAAAGGUACUGUAGAUGUUCUACGUGAAGUCAUCACUGUGGUGGUAGCAUUUAAAGGUCCUGUAGAUGUUCUAUGUGAAGUCAUCACUAUGGUGGUAGUGUUUAAAGGUAUUGUAGAUGUUCUACGUGAAGUCAUCACUGUGGUGGUAGCAUUUAAAGGUACUGUAGAUGUUCUACGUGAAGUCAUCACUGUGGUGGUAGCAUUUAAAGGUCCUGUAGAUGUUCUACGUGAAGUCAUCACUGUGGUGGUAGUGUUUAAAGGUACUGUAGAUGUUCUAUGUGAAGGCAUCACUGUGAUGGUAGUGUAUAAAGGUAUUGUAGAUGCUCUAUUUGAAGACAUUACAGGGGUGGCAUUUAGAGGUCUUAUGGUAGUGGUGACAUUCUUCACCAUUGGUCUUGUGGUGUUGUUUGAUGGAAAGAAAGUGGUGGCAUUUGAAGGCAUCUUUGUGAUUCUAGCAUUUGAAGGAACUGUAGAGGUAAGAUUCAUUAGUAUUGGAGUGGAGUUGUUCGAUGACAUCAAAAUGGUGGUAUUGGGUGGCAUCACUGUGAUUGUAGUAUUCAAGGUUAUCGUAGAUGUUCUAUUUGAAGAUGUCACAGUGAGGUUUAUAGGAACUGUAGUGGUGACACUCAUUACCCUUGGAGGGGUGUGGUUGUUUGGUGUCAUUGGGGUUGCAGUUGAUUGAGUUAUGUUAUUUGUGGUGCUGGUUUGUGAUGGCAUCAACAAGGUGGUGUUCAUUGGUCUUAUGAUUGUUCCAUUAGUCGUUGUGGAAUGGGUUGUUGCCUUUGUAGUUGAAAAGGUCUUUGUGUUUGUUACCUG
ensembl:lncRNA